GUAACCCCGCGGUCGCUGUUCGGGGAGCGGGCCCGGGGGUGUGCCUGUGGUACCGGGAGGAGGAGGAGGCGGUGGCGGCGGCGGCAGCGGCGGCGGGGCGCCCCUGGCGUGGCUCCGGGCGAGGGCGGGGCAUCCCAGGGGCUUGUCGUGUGGGGCCGGGCGGGAGGAGCUGCCCUGGAGCAAACCCCGGGUGAUCACCCCCGCGUACCGGCUGGUUCGCGCUAAGGGGCGGACCCGGUGCUUCUGAUGAAGUCUGAGGACUCCUUUUUUAUUUUUUAAUUUUUUUUUUUCCAGAUGAAGUUCAACCUGCAAAUGCCACUCGUGAGCUCCGUCCGCUCCAGAGAAAGUCUGCAAAGAUGGAUCAUGAACAGAAGUUGUGAAAAACACAUGCAUAUUUGUCAGCAGACAAAAGGUUUUCUUCCUGAAAAGGGAAAUAAUAAACCUGCUAAGCUGCAUCAAACAACUCAUUUCUUACAAGUUAGUGAUACAGUUCUAUAAUUAUUCAGUAAUGUUUCAACAGAAUGGGUCUUCACUUGAAAAGGUCAAUGUCUGGAAGCCAGCACUCUUGACUGUAAAAUAUAUGCUAGUUUUGGCAGAAAGGUUUUAGCAAAGACGCAAUUUAUUCUGAGGGAGGAGGGUGAGAUUGUAUGAAUAUACAGUGUUCCCGUGUCUAUAGCAAAGAGCCUACCAGUGUUGGGUGAGUCAGAUUCAGGUCCCUGUUUUUCCUGAUUCAAUGAGAGUUUUGACCCCGACUUUCGCAUCACAGGUAAAACCGUAACCACCAAGCUACUGGCUGAUAUGCAAUAGGAAUCUUCCAUGUUCUUUCCUGUUUGUACAAACAAACAUUAAUUUUAGCAGACACUUGAGCUUAGGACUUCCAAUCUUUGCUUGAGCUCAGCAGCUGUUGUGGGAGAUUCCUUUUCUUCUUUCAUUAAAAACAAAUAAAUAAACACUUAAAGGAUUUUCAUGCAAAAUGUGAAAUGUGACAACAUUUUAGUUUUCUAACUUUCACAAGACAGGCAGAUGUUUCCCACACAGUUUUUUUCAGCUUUGCAGCAUGAUUCAGUUCAAGGGAAGCUUAUAUGUUAAUAGCAUUAAAAAUAAUUACUAAAUAGAAUUUACUUUGUAUUAUCAUGUUCCUUCAUGUUCUCUUGCUGUGUUUGCUCUUUCACUGUUACAUCUUAAAAUAGGCAGUAAGGACUUCAGAACAUAUAUCUUCCUAUGGAUAUUUCUUUAAUGCAUAAUGGCAGAAAACUCACGGGACACUGGUUGCAGCACUAUAUGACAUUAAUUUUUCUGCGGAAUGGCCUGCUGCGAAAUGCCAUCCAUCUUUGAUUAGUUCCUCUUCAGUGUUCUCUAACACAUUAUCACCAGUUUCUCGUCCAAAAAAAUCCCAGAUUCCUUUCAGUCAUGCACCUCUCUAAAUCUUCUACUUUUUUCCCUAUUUUUCCUUCAUGCACGUAUAAGCUGUUGAAUUCAUUCACAUUUGCUGGAACUCCACAGCUAUGACUGUACAACUAUGUGCUGUGUCCCAGGUUCUUUCAACUUUACUCUCUCUUCCCUGCCGUUGCAGUGUCACUGAAGAUCACAAAUAAGGUGGCAACCCAGUGCUAUUAUUUGAUAUGCUCAAUAAGAGAUAUACCUAACAGCUACUACUGCUUCCAAGUUUAUGUUUCCAGCUGCAACCAUGACGUUUGCAGGUCUUUCAAAUUAAACAACCCUUUCCCCCUCCACGCCCAUGUGUACAAUGAGAGUUUUUUUCAGACUGAGAAGUGAUAGGCAGUCUAAAUAGAGGAAUCAGUACUUCUGGCUGUGUAUACAAUUGGAAACAAAAACUACAACAGCCAGUGUGCUUUGUUCAGAUUUCUUUAGAAAUAUGGAUUCCCAGGCAGUAACUUGGAAACUAAAUACAUUCCUGGAUGUGGUAAAAUUUUUACAAUAGUCUCUAGUGGGAAG